GUGGCGAAUUCCGAAAAGCCAUACGAGUAGGAA
rnacentral:ncRNA from 1 species